GAUGAACGCUGGCGGCGUGCCUAAUACAUGCAAGUCGAGCGAAGCGGGGACGGGUGAGUAACACGUGGAUAUCCUCCUAUACACCUGGGAUAACUUCGGGAACCCGAAGCUACACCGGAUACUUAUAGAUUGAUCCGCGCUGCAUUCGCUAGUUGGUAAGGUAACGGAUCACCAAGGAAACGAUGCAUAGCCGACCCGCGAGGGUGAUCGGCCACACUGGAAAUGAGACACGGACCAGACUCCUACGGGAGGCAGCAGUAGGGAAUCUUCCGCAAUGGGCGAAAGCCUGACGGAGCAACGCCGCGUGAGUGAUGAAGGUCUUCGGAGCGUAAAACUCUGUUAUUAGGGAAGCGGUACCUAAUCAGAAAGCCACGGCUAACUACGUGCCAGCAGCCGCGGUAAUAC
rnacentral:rRNA from 1 species